UAAAGCGCGCGUAGGCGGUUUGUUAAGUCGGAUGUGAAAGCCCUGGGCUCAACCUGGGAACUGCAUUCGAUACUGAUCGACUAGAGUACGAGAGAGGGAGGUAGAAUUCCACGUGUAGCGGUGAAAUGCGUAGAUAUGUGGAGGAAUACCGGUGGCGAAGGCGGCCUCCUGGCUCGAUACUGACGCUGAGGUGCGAAAGCGUGGGUAGCAAACAGGAUUAGAUACCCUGGUAGUCCACGCCGUAAACGAUGUCUACUAGCCGUUGGGAGACUUGAUUUCUUAGUGGCGCAGCUAACGCACUAAGUAGACCGCCUGGGGAGUACGGCCGCAAGGUUAAAACUCAAAUGAAUUGACGGGGGCCCGCACAAGCGGUGGAGCAUGUGGUUUAAUUCGAUGCAACGCGAAGAACCUUACCAGGUCUUGACAUCCUGAAAACUUUCUAGAGAUAGAUUGGUGCCUUCGGGAAUUCAGUGACAGGUGCUGCAUGGCUGUCGUCAGCUCGUGUCGUGAGAUGUUGGGUUAAGUCCCGUAACGAGCGCAACCCUUGUCCUUAGUUGCCAGC
rnacentral:rRNA from 1 species